UGGGGAAUAUUGCACAAUGGAGGGAACUCUGAUGCAGCGACGCCGCGUGAACGAAGAAGGCUUUCGAGUCGUAAAGUUCUUUUAUAUGGGAAGAUAAUGACGGUACCAUAAGAAAAAGCACCGGCUAACUACGUGCCAGCAGCCGCGGUAAUACGUAGGGGGCUAGCGUUGUCCGGAAUCACUGGGCGUAAAGGGUUCGCAGGCGGAAAUGCAAGUCAGGUGUAAAAGGCAGUAGCUUAACUACUGUAAGCAUUUGAAACUGCAUAUCUUGAGAAGAGUAGAGGUAAGUGGAAUUUUUAGUGUAGCGGUGAAAUGCGUAGAUAUUAAAAAGAAUACCGGUGGCGAAGGCGACUUACUGGGCUCAUUCUGACGCUGAGGAACGAAAGCGUGGGUAGCAAACAGG
rnacentral:rRNA from 1 species